UCAAGGGCGUACAUAUCUUGCUUCUAGCAUUUCCCUGUACGUUAGCUAUGACCGCAAGGUAGCAAUGACGUUGGGCCAGUCAGCGCUGAGUCGUUUGAUCAACGAGCGCUGCUGGU
rnacentral:sRNA from 12 species